GAAGAUAUAGCUCAAGUGGUAGAGCGUGUGCUUAGCAUGCACAAGGUCUUGGGUUCAAUCCCCAGUACCUCCU
rnacentral:tRNA from 1 species